rnacentral:lncRNA from 1 species
AGUAAAGAGCCAACAGAAAUUGCUUUGAAUCCAUUCCUUCAAAUGUGGUAAAGAUACUUUAUUCCAACAGGAGCUGAAUUUCAGAUUAAACGUGCAACUGAGGUUGGUAAGAAUACUUUGACUUACUGGAAGUAAGAGGUAUUUAUCACAGCUGCUGUUCUGGUGAAAUGAUUUGCUCUGGAGGUUUCACACGAACCCUGAAGACAUACUUCUGGACCUUCUUCCUCCAAAAAAAUUCAGCCACGAUUCAUCCUUAGGAGGAGCCAAGUCCAAACUCCAAAGACCGGGAGCUGACUUAAAGUUCUUUACUGGAGUCUGCAUGCUUUGAUACACAUACUUGUGCUGCUUUUAAGAGAACAAUUGGCUUUGAUCUCUUCUGAGGUUGUGAACUCCACAGGUGGUGAUGGAUGUCUACUGUUCCAGGAAGUGCCAGGUUUUGUACACUGGUUAUUAUUGAUGAGGUUGUGCUCCUUCCCUCCCUGUCCUCCAGGCAUUUGAGAAAG